rnacentral:rRNA from 1 species
AGUGAACGCUGGCGGUAGGCCUAACACAUGCAAGUCGAACGGCAGCACAGUAAGAGCUUGCUCUUACGGGUGGCGAGUGGCGGACGGGUGAGGAAUACAUCGGAAUCUACUUUUUCUUGGGGGAUAACGUAGGGAAACUUACGCUAAUACCGCAUACGUCCUACGGGUGAAAUCAGGGGAUCUUCGGACCUUGCGCGAUUGAAUGAGCCGAUGUCGGAUUAGCUAGUUGGCGGGGUAAAGGCCCACCAAGGCGACGAUCCGUAGCUGGUCUGAGAGGAUGAUCGGCCACACUGGAAAUGAGACACGGUCCAGACUCCUACGGGAGGCAGCAGGAGGGAAUAUUCGGCAAUGGGCGAAAGCCUGACGCAGCCAAGCCGCGUGAGGGAAGAAGGGCUUCGGAUUGUAAAACCCUUUUAGUAGGGAAGAAAAAACGGGAAAUUAAAUCCCCACGUUUUGACGGUACCCAAAAAGAAAGCCACGGCUAACUACGUG